GUGGGGAAUAUUGGACAAUGGGCGCAAGCCUGAUCCAGCAAUGCCGCGUGGGUGAAGAAGGUCUUCGGAUCGUAAAGCCCUUUCGACAGGGACGAUGAUGACGGUACCUGUAGAAGAAGCCCCGGCUAACUUCGUGCCAGCAGCCGCGGUAAUACGAAGGGGGCUAGCGUUACUCGGAAUUACUGGGCGUAAAGGGCGCGUAGGCGGCUCUGUUAGUCAGGCGUGAAAUUCCUGGGCUUAACCUGGGGACUGCGCUUGAUACUGCAGGGCUUGAGGCCGAGAGAGGGUGGUGGAAUUCCCAGUGUAGAGGUGAAAUGCGUAGAUAUUGGGAAGAACACCGGUGGCGAAGGCGACCACCUGGCUCGGUUCUGACGCUGAGGCGCGACAGCGUGGGGAGCAAACAGGAUUAGAUACCCGGGUAGUCC
rnacentral:rRNA from 1 species